GAACGCUGGCGGCGUGCCUAAUACAUGCAAGUAGAACGCUGAAGGAGGAGCUUGCUUCUCUGGAUGAGUUGCGAACGGGUGAGUAACGCGUAGGUAACCUGCCUGGUAGCGGGGGAUAACUAUUGGAAACGAUAGCUAAUACCGCAUAAGAGUAGAUGUUGCAUGACAUUUGCUUAAAAGGUGCAAUUGCAUCACUACCAGAUGGACCUGCGUUGUAUUAGCUAGUUGGUGGGGUAACGGCUCACCAAGGCGACGAUACAUAGCCGACCUGAGAGGGUGAUCGGCCACACUGGGACUGAGACACGGCCCAGACUCCUACGGGAGGCAGCAGUAGGGAAUCUUCGGCAAUGGACGGAAGUCUGACCGAGCAACGCCGCGUGAGUGAAGAAGGUUUUCGGAUCGUAAAGCUCUGUUGUAAGAGAAGAACGAGUGUGAGAGUGGAAAGUUCACACUGUGACGGUAUCUUACCAGAAAGGGACGGCUAACUACGUG
rnacentral:rRNA from 1 species